rnacentral:lncRNA from 1 species
UUUCUUCCAGACUUCCACAGCAAUCCUUUUCUCAUUAAAUUUUCUUUCCUCGUUCUCAUAUCAAAGAGAUCGGUCUAAGGGCAUGGCUCAAGGUCGUUGAAGGCAGACCGUGCUGCCUUCAUUUCUCGUGUUCAAAGAGUAGGUGUUGGAGGCUGGUCCAAGAAAUCAACUCAUGGAAACGUGCGGAGGAGUUCAUGGAAAUUGGGAAGAUGCCCA